UAGCCAGGUAACUCCUUGCUAAUUUUCUAUAUCAGCAGUUCUACCUCAGAUGACUGUGAGAGCUAGGGGGGUCAUAUUAAGUGCAGCUUGAACUAACAGGAUGUUUGCAUUUUUGGGACCAGUUUGGGGCACUGAUGUAGGAAUUUAUGAACCAAGAUCCUUCUCCCUUGUACUUUAUGUGCACAUUUCUGGAGAGCAAUCUGUGUUCUUCCGGCAGGUACUGGUGGAAUUGAAUUCCUCUGCCCAUUGUGACUUUAAGAAGACUAUGUAUGCGUUUGUGUAUGUGUGUGUAUUUUGCAGUACUGGUGAUUGAACUCAGGAGUGCUUUGUCAUUAUCCCACUCAUCUUUAACCCGAGUAUCCAGUUACUUUUCUCUUUCCACAGAUGAGUAAUGCUCUGUAGCUCUUCCAAACAUAUUCUUUCAAAAUGCAUCUGGCUUCAAAGUCCUCCCACUCAGUACUGGCCCUGGGAUGACUUCCCAAAUGACCCAAGUGCACGCUCUUCCUUCAGACCCUUUCUGAGGGAAAUCUCAUCCAAAAGAAGCAACUCUCAGAUUUGCUUUUAUAGCCUGCACUUAUUUUUUUCCUACUGCAAUGACUGAAUCUUUUAACUUGCAGAUUGUAGGGAGUCUUCGCUCUGAACACAUUCCACGCACUAAUGUUCCUUAUUGUGGGUGGUGACUCUGUGAUGAGGGGGGUCCUCACGAUAAACAACAGAGAGAGAAAGAACAACUUUGGUGACGCCCCUGACUUGUCCCGCUUCCUCGUAUCGUGUUGCUGCAUCCCAUCUUUUUGAUCAUCAGUUUGCCUCCCGAGCACCUGUCUGCCGCCUCACCACCCUCCCUCCCCAGCCCCGUUACAGCGCAUCGGUCGCCUGCCUAGAAGAAAGUGGCCACUUAAAAGUCAUGUCAAAUGGAAUCCAAUGGUCCUGGGCACAUCAAGAGAGACAUGAACAUUGAACAAAAGCACAGGAAAAAGAAGGUGAUGGACUGAGGAAACUAUAUUUAGAACCAGGAGAUCUGUUGGCAGGAUACCAGACUUGUUACGGUGUUUCACCUUUCUGAAUUCAUGUGAAAAAGGGUUUCCCAGAGUCGUAAUAAAAGAAUA